rnacentral:lncRNA from 1 species
CACCAGAGCCACAGCAAAACCAGAUCAGAGCCAUAUCUGUGACCUACACCACGGCUCAUGGCAGUGAGCUGCAUCCUCUACCCCCUGAGCAAGGCCAGAAUCAAACCCAUAACCUCAUGGUUCCUAGUCAGAUUCAUUAUCCAUUGUGCCACAAUGGGAACUCCUGCAUUGCCAUUUUAAACCUUGUUUUCCAGUUGGUUCUAUAUUUCUCCUUUGUUCCUUUCUUUUUUUGGUUGGACGAUUUCCUUUUAUUUUAUUUUGGGUUGUUUGUUUCCUCUUCUUUUUAGUUUUUGGAAUGUAUUGUUCGGUUUUAUUUGUGGUUGCCCUGUUUUUCAAGUAUAUUCACGCAUUUCUAUAUCUGCUUGCUUUAACCUGAUAGUCAUAUAGGGCUCAAACAUAUUCUAAAAAAAGAGAGAGAGAGAGUCUAGAUUUUCUUACUUUCUUCCCCCACAUUUAAUGAUUUCGACAUCCUUUUUAACAUCUUCGUGUUUAUCUUUUUGCUGUAACUGGUGUUUAUCAUCACUUUACAAAUAGUUUUUUUUUCUUUUUAAUCUGUAUACUGGCUUAUUUAUGUGAUUAAUUUCCAACUGUGAUUUCUUCUUACUUCUUUACUAUUUAGAGGAGACCUUUCAGUAUCUACUUUAGAAUGGGUUUAGUAUUGCUAUUCUUUUAGUUUUUGUUUGUUGGAGAAAUUUUUUAUUUUUCCUUCUAUUUUAAAGAAUAAUCUUGCUGGGUAAAGUAUUCUAGAUUGCAAAUUUUCCCAUUUUAGAACUUCAAAUAUAUCCUACGACUUCUUCUGACCUGUAGUGUUUCUGUAGAGCACUCUCUUGGCUGUGGGGCACCACUCCCCAGCCAGUGGCACACCACUCCCUGGCCCCCUCAGACUGUCUCCACAUACCCAACCCUAGUCCCCUCCCCAGAACUGACCUCUAAGGACUGAGUCUCACUGCCCAACCCCCACCUGAGAGUCUCAGGCUCUGAUGUCCUAGGUGUUGGUGCCAGUGGUCUCUGUGGCCGUCUCUGCUUUGCCCUCCUCAGUGUGGCUACAAACUUUUCUCAGAGGCUUUGAGGUUCCGCCUAGGUCCUAGAGGACCUCACCAUCCAGUUAGAUGGCCUCCUAGGGUACAGAUUCCUUUCCUCUUUCACAGCUUCCUCUUGGGAGUGCUAGUCCCCUCCUGAUUCCUUUUUAUCUCUCACUCUUUCUUCCUUUUUCUUUUGUUCUACACAGUUGUGUGGAGGGUUUUUUUGCCCUUUUUGGAGGUCUAAGGUCUUCUGCCAGCACUCAGUAGAUGUUCUGUGCAAAUUGUGCUACAUGUACAUUUUUUUAUUGUGUUUGUUGGAAAAGAUGGGUCUCAUGUCUUACUCCUCUGCCAUUUUGAUCCUGCAUCCUGAAGAUGCGCUUUUUUUUUUUUUUUUGUCUUUUUGUCUUUUUAGGGCUGCACCCAUGGCAUAUGGAGGUUGUCAGGCUAGGGGUCUAAUAGGAGCUGUAGUCACCGGCCUACGCCAGAGCCACAGCAAUGCCAGAUCCAAGCUGUGUCUGCGACCUACACUACAGCUCACAGCAAUGCCAGAUCCUUAACCCACUGAGCAAAGCCAGGGAUCAAACCCGCAACCUCAUGGUUCCUAGUCGGAUUUGUUAACCACUGCGCCAUGAGGGGAACUCCCCCCAAAGAUGCUUUUUAUAAUGCUAUUAGUCAAGAUAAUCCUUGCUGUGAUGUAGUAACAACCCCCCAAAUCUGAAUGAUUUCAGACAAAAAUUGAGCUUUUCUUGUUCUUGCAAAGUCUGAAGAGGGCUGGCAGCACUGACUUCCAUCUAGUGAUUCAAGAAUUCAGGCUCCCUUCAUCUUGUGAUGUUGCGAUUUCAACCUGUGGCCCCCAGGCUUUGUGCAAGGCAAAGCAGGAACUCACAGCCCUUAACUACUUUGGUCUAGAAAUGGCAUACAUCACUGCCAUUCAUAAGCCAUUGGCCUAAACCUGUUAUUUGGGCCUGACCCAACAACAAGGGAGUCAGGGAAAUGUGAGGGGUGGGAAAUAUUUGGAGAAUAUUUUCCAAACUGUCUAUAAAUGUUUUGGGCAGUGAUUCAUUAUAUAUAUAUGCUAUAAGUAAAUUAAAAUGUUGUUCCCUAAAUAAUAUUUUAAUGUAUUUAAAAGUUUCAGCUUUUCAAAGGAGCUAUAAGUGACUCAUUUUGAAAGGGCCUUUUGUGAAUAAUCACUUCAGAUAUGUCCCUUUCAAAUAAAGACAGGCAUGUUUUUCUUUUUAAAAAAAAUUCUAUGACCACACUCAUGGCAUAUGAAAGUUCCUGGGCUAGGAAUUGAAUCUGAGCCAUAGCUGUGACCCAUGCCAGAUCCUUUUAACCCACUGUGCCAAGCCAGGGAUCAAACCAUGCCUCCACAGCAACCUGAGCCACUGCAGUUACAUUCUCAACAAACUGUGCUACAGUGGGAACGCCAAGGCAGGCAUGUUUAAGUUGGCUUUUCCUAAAAUGGUGUCCUUAUUGGCGUGUUUGAGCUAGUUUACCCUGUAAUUUUCUUCUCAAUUCCAAGUUCAUGGGAGGUUAGCUCAUAACGGUGAUUUGAAUUUGGCCACAGUGGGAUCAUCUACAACAUAGCAGUUAGCAAAUUCUACAAAUUAAUUUUUUUUUAGUUUUUCAAAACACAGUUAUUAAAGGUUUACUAGCACACUGCUGCAUACUCUGGCAGUUAAAAUGAUUGGUCCUAGAAAUAAGAUUGUAACUUAGUUUUUAAAUUAAUGAGUUAUUGAGGGAGGGAUAAAUUAGGAGUUUGGGACUUACAUAUAUAUACUACUAUAUAUGAAAUAGAUACUCAACAAAGACCUGCUGCAAUAAGAACAUAUAUAUCAAUAAUAACCUUAAAUGUAGAUGGACUAAAUGCUCCAACCAAAAGACAUAGACUUGCUGAAUGGACACAAAUACAAGACCUAUAUAUAUGCUGCCUACAAGAGACCCAUGUCUGGUCUAGGAAUACAGAUUGAAAGUGAGAGAAUGGAAAAAGAUAUUCCAUGUGUACAGAAAUCAAAAGAAAGCUGGAAUAGCAGUACCUAUAUCAGACAAAAUAGACUUUAAAAUAAAGAUAGUUAUAGGAGACAAAGAAGGUCAUUAAAUAAUGAUCAGAGAAUCAGUCCAAGAAGAAGAUAUAACAAUUGAAAAUAUAAAUGCACCCAACAUAGGAGCACUUCAAUAUAUAAGGAAACUGCUAACAGCCAUAAAAGGAGAACUUGACAGUAAUACAAUAAUAGUAGGGGAUUUUAACAGCCAAUUAUAGGGAUGGACAGAUCAUCGAGGCAGAAAUCAACAAAGAAACACAGGCCUUAAAUGACGCAUUAGACAUUUAAAGAACAUUCCAUUUGGAAGCCACAGACUAUACAUUCUUCUCAAGCACACACAGAACAUUCUCUAGGAUAGGUCCCAUUCUGGGCCAGAAAUCAAGCUCAGGAAAUUUAAGAAAAUUGAAAUAAUAUCAAGCAUCUUUU